CCGACGUGGAUAUCCCGGGAGGUCACUCUCCCCGGGCUCUGUCCUAGUGGCGCAUGGGAGCUUAGGGCAUCGCCCGGUGAUGUACAGUCCCUUUCCACAACGUCGGAGAUGAAGCUGGGCUUCCGAGUCUGCGCCUGCAUAUUCCUACGACUUCUCAGAGUCCCGUGGACGAUGACUGGGGAGACAAACCAUGCAGGAAACAAUU
rnacentral:snoRNA from 1 species